UCGUGGGAUAGGAGGGGAGUUUGCGUGCCCUCUACCGCAAAUCGCAAAUGGCGGUCCGAAAGCCUUGGAGCGGCUCAGCCGGUUCGUGGAUUCCCACUGGCGGACGUAGAUGUCUCGCCCCCACGUGACCCGGGUGUCACAAGUUGUAGCCGGAAGGCAACAAUGAGUGAAUAACCGGGGGAUCAGGUCAGGCCGGGAACGGAGCAGCCCUACCUGGGGCCAUGGGUGCCGUGGGGUACCGGGAUGGAGAAAGCCAGUGGAUCAGGUCCUCGGAUACGAGUGUCCAUCCUUGGCACUCCCACCU
rnacentral:SRP_RNA from 1 species